UACGUAGGGGGCGAGCGUUAUCCGGAUUUACUGGGUGUAAAGGGAGCGUAGACGGCGUCGCAAGUCUGAAGUGAAAGCCCGUGGCUCAACCGCGGAACCGCUUUGGAAACUGCGAGGCUGGAGUGCUGGAGAGGUAAGCGGAAUUCCUGGUGUAGCGGUGAAAUGCGUAGAUAUCAGGAGGAACACCGGUGGCGAAGGCGGCUUACUGGACAGUGACUGACGUUGAGGCUCGAAAGCAUGGGGAGCAAACAGG
rnacentral:rRNA from 1 species